GACGAACGCUGGCGGCGUGCUUAACACAUGCAAGUCGAGCGGUAAGGCCCCUUCGGGGGUACACGAGCGGCGAACGGGUGAGUAACACGUGAGUAAUCUGCCCCUCACUUCGGGAUAAGCCUCGGAAACGAGGUCUAAUACCGGAUACGACCACUUCCUGCAUGGGAGGGUGGUGGAAAGUUUUUUCGGUGGGGGAUGUGCUCGCGGCCUAUCAGGUUGGUGGUGGGGUAAUGGCCUACCAAGGCUUCGACGGGUAGCCGGCCUGAGCGGGUGACCGGCCAAACAGGGGCUGAGACCCGGCCCAGACUCCUACGGGAGGCAGCAGUGGGGAAUAUUGGACAAUGGGCGGAAGCCUGAUCCAGCAACGCCGCGUGAGGGAUGACGGCCUUCGGGUUGUAAACCUCUUUCAGCGGGGACGAAGCGCAAGUGACGGUACCCGCAGAAGAAGCACCGGCCAACUACGUGCCAGCCGCCGCCGUAACAC
rnacentral:rRNA from 1 species